rfam:Stegodyphus mimosarum contig16075, whole genome shotgun sequence.
AAAAAGGCACUUUUCAGGGCCACACAAAUCUAAUAAAAUAGAAAU